UCGUAAGCAGAUCAGAGCACCCUUGCUCCUCAAAAAUCUGUAUUAACCUCUACCACGCCUCAAAAGUACUACAUUUGAUACUUCAAUGUGAACUCGAAAAAAGUAAUAUCGAUAAUGGCGCCGUUCGACUACACUUUUGAGACGAGAUUGAGAGAAGUCUGAUUUAUGAAGAAUGCCACGUUUAAUUGGAAGAGAGCA